AUUGAACGCUGGCGGCAUGCUUUACACAUGCAAGUCGAACGGCAGCGCGGGCUUCGGCCUGGCGGCGAGUGUCGAACGGGUGAGUAAUGCAUCGGAACGUGCCCAGUAGUGGGGGAUAGCCCGGCGAAAGCCGGAUUAAUACCGCAUACGACCUGAGGGUGAAAGCGGGGGACCGAAAGGCCUCGCGCUAUUGGAGCGGCCGAUGUCGGAUUAGCUAGUUGGUGGGGUAAAGGCUUACCAAGGCGACGAUCCGUAGCUGGUCUGAGAGGACGACCAGCCACACUGGGACUGAGAAACGGCACAGACUCCUACGGGAGGAAGCAGUGGGGAAUUUUGGACAAUGGGGGCAACCCUCAUCCAGCCAUGCCGCGUGCGGGAAGAAGGCCUUCGGGUUGUAAAACGCUUUUGUUCGGGAAGAAAUCCUCUGGGCUAAUACCCCGGGGGGAUGACGGUACCGGAAGAAUCAGCACCGGCUAACUACGUG
rnacentral:rRNA from 1 species